rnacentral:rRNA from 1 species
AUUGAACGCUGGCGGCAUGCCUUACACAUGCAAGUCGAACGGUAACAGGUUAAGCUGACGAGUGGCGAACGGGUGAGUAAUAUAUCGGAACGUGCCCAGUCGUGGGGGAUAACUGCUCGAAAGAGCAGCUAAUACCGCAUACGGCCUGAGGGUGAAAGCGGGGGAUCGCAAGACCUCGCGCGAUUGGAGCGGCCGAUAUCAGAUUAGGUAGUUGGUGGGGUAAAGGCCCACCAAGCCAACGAUCUGUAGCUGGUCUGAGAGGACGACCAGCCACACUGGGACUGAGACACGGCCCAGACUCCUACGGGAGGCAGCAGUGGGGAAUUUUGGACAAUGGGCGCAAGCCUGAUCCAGCCAUGCCGCGUGCGGGAAGAAGGCCUUCGGGUUGUAAACCGCUUUUGUCAGGGAAGAAAAGGGUGUUUCUAAUACAGACGCCUCAUGACGGUACCUGAAGAAUAAGCACCGGCUAACUACGUGCCAGCCGCCGCCGUAAUAC